ACCACAACUACAACAACCACGACUACACCAACAACGACCACCGCACCAACUACAACAUCUGCAACAACCACUAAUACACCAACUUCCAUUACUACAUCAACAACUACCACUACUACACCAACUACUACAACGCCAACUGCAACAACGGCAUCACAGACGUCAUUGACAAGUACAGCUACAACCAAAUCCGCACCUACACCCACAACAGUCAAUCCCAUCAGCGAGAUCUUAACAGAACCACAAAAAAUAAUCAUAGCGGCGAGCUUCGCUGUAGGUCUUGGGAUACUCAUCAUCACUGCUGUCAUCGUCUGUGUCAAAAUCAAAAAAGACGUUUGCAGAAUAUGGCCUAAAGCAAAACCUCCACCGACACAAACUGGAGACUUCGAUUACACUUCUCCUCCUCUGGGGCGUCUUCGCGGGGGUUCUCAUACCCAACACGUUUUUAAUGUUGGCCGAUUGAGUUAGACAUUGAUACCCAGUACAGGCUCACCCAAAUGAUGCACAAUCAUGCAUGGUCUUAAAUAGCGUGUGGGCUUGUGUGCGUGCGUGUGGGCUUGUGGGCGUGCGUGCGUGCGUGUGCGUGCGUGCGUGCGUGCGUGCGUGCCAGAGCGGGAGUGUGUGGCUUAUGGAAAGCUUAUUUUCUUAUUCCACCGAAUGGCUUCGUGUUCACCACAGAAAUGUGCAUACAAAAGGUUCAGCUUCGACUACAAGAGGCUAAAAAUUUAGACAUUUAUAUAUUAUCACCCUUUUCCACCUAUAGACAGAAUUGUCAAAUGAAAAUCCGUAAACCAAGAAAUACUAGUAUUCCGGUAUUAUCUGUUCGCAUUAUUUUUUUUGUCUGAUCUAAGACAUGAGGGGCGAUAUUACCAUAUUUUCUUCACCACUAUUCCUGCAAUAUCAAGCAGUCACAGAGGGUUGAUCUGAAUAGGCGUUGGUUUACUUAUUUAAGUAAAUGUCAUUAACCCUUUUACGCCAAUUGGAAUCUGUUUCGGCAGCUAAUUCGGCUGAUUUUUCUUUGGCAUUUCUAAAUUUACAAUCCAUAAUCAGAUUUAUUUUACGUUCACAUCUUCACUUUUCAUAUUGCACAGUUCACAAAUAGAUUUUGGAAACUAUUGCAUAGCAAGAAAAUCAUUUCAGCAAUAAAUAGAUAUCAAUGUGCCAUUCGGAAAAAGUGCCUACUAAAUUCAAGUGUGUCCUCGUACUUGUAUUUGAAAGAAGUGUGUAAUUAAACUAGUA